rnacentral:sRNA from 12 species
AAUAUUAGAUCAUAAGCCCUGAUGACUUUGGCUCUGUGUAACAGAACCUAGCUUCAGCUGAAAUGCUGCGGGAGAGACUGAAAUCGGAGCUCAGGCAGGUCAUUGA